rnacentral:rRNA from 1 species
UCUUAAGCAUGCAAGUCAAACGGGAUGUAGCAAUACAUUCAGUGGCGAACGGGUGAGUAACGCGUGGAUGAUCUACCUAUGAGAUGGGGAUAACUAUUAGAAAUAGUAGCUAAUACCGAAUAAGGUCAAUUAAUUUGUUAAUUGAUGAAAGGAAGCCUUUAAAGCUUCGCUUGUAGAUGAGUCUGCGUCUUAUUAGCUAGUUGGUGGGGUAAAUGCCUACCAAGGCGAUGAUAAGUAACCGGCCUGAGAGGGUGAACGGUCACACUGGAACUGAGAUACGGUCCAGACUCCUACGGGAGGCAGCAGCUAAGAAUCUUCCGCAAUGGGCGAAAGCCUGACGGAGCGACACUGCGUGAAUGAAGAAGGUCGAAAGAUUGUAAAAUUCUUUUAUAAAUGAGGAAUAAGCUUUGUAGGAAAUGACAAAGUGAUGACGUUAAUUUAUGAAUAAGCCCCGGCUAAUUACGUGCCAGCAGCCGCGGUAAUACGUAAGGGGCGAGCGUUGUUCGGGAUUAUUGGGCGUAAAGGGUGAGUAGGCGGAUAUAUAAGUCUAUGCAUAAAAUA